UAGCUAACGAAACAGCCAAUGGCGCCGCCGAAGGGACGUGAGACCUGCACACGGUAUGGAUGUGACGUCAUAAGCUCCUUAGUCGUGUUCCAUCUCCCCUGGUGCACUUAUUUUAAUUGGCAGCAAUUGAAGCAGGUUGCACGGCUGGGUGCACAGAGGUGACUGACUAGACGUGUGUAACACAGAAGAUUUAUUAGCCAGCAGGAACACAGCGUAGAAAAGAGCUUGCUAGCACAGAAAUCAGGAACUUUCAGCUGGACUUGCAGCCUAUUAAAACCCAUGUAUCUUUUCAAGGUGAGGCCACAGAACGCAACCCAUUGAUGUGUCUAAAAGCCACGGCCAUGUAAUCGGAGCCCCCUCAAUACUCAGGCUGGGUAGAGACGAAUAGAAUUGGGCUCGGGGACUAUUGCCUUGGUUGUCUGCCAGCAACAGGCAUGGCACUCAGCCACACUCAGAUCUGCAGCCCAAGUUGCUUAGCAACCAGCCAGCUAAUUGUAGGCCCCAACCUGUCACUCACCAGCCGCAGCACAGUCCUGAAGAAUUCAAAGACAACGUCUGCCCUGCUUGCCAGCUUUCAGCUGUUCCUUCUUUCUCCCGGGCUGCUUCCUCAGUCCUACCCCGCUGUUCCUUUCGAGUAAAGAGCCACAGUCGCACCCCCGCCCUGCUAAACAGGCGGCAGGCCUACCUCCGAAACUCCCCCACCGCUCUACACCCAGCCUGAAAUCGGUCCCUGCUAGCCCGCCCCACGAGCAGAUUUCCAAGUCCCCAGGGACUGUCCGUUUCCCCGUGAGUCUCUGCAGGGAGGCGAGCCAGCAGCUCAUCACACAGAACUUUCCAGACUGUUUUCGGCAUGGCCUAGAGCCAGAGCAUCCUCAGGGCUGUUCUGAGGUGCCCUGAGACACCCCCAUCCUUGCCCAUCACGUCUCUAGGUCUGGCCCUGGCUGGUGAUUAUUCAGCUGAUUGUGCGGCUUCAUACACUCACUGCACAAUCAUUCACACGCACACUCGUGCACACACCAUCGUUCACACACAGGCUUUUAUUAACACACAGGCUCCCAGGCGUGCAGUAUUACAUAGUCAUUCACUCACACACACUUGCUCAUUCACACUCAUUUACACACAUGGUCUCUAUUCCACAGUAAGCCUUUCACCCACAUACGUGCCCCAUGACACACUCAUUCAUUCGCACUCAUUGACUGUUACACACACACACUUAUUCACUCAAACUCAUUCAUGCACACAUACACCCCCACUUUUCGGCUGAUUCACACUCACCCAUUACCCACAUUGACGCACUUACCUUCAUUCAGUACUAUUCAUUUGCACACAUUUAUGCAUUCUUUUAGACACACCCACUCACUUAUUUACCUCCCCGGCCCCCCGCUCCCCCCCACUCGUUCCUCAGCUCCACUGUGGCCCAGAAGAGCACAGCUUGGUGCAGAGCAAGGACGGAGACGGGUUCAUAAGUGUGAAUGCAGCUGCGCUUUUUGACGUGAGCAGCCAGAGAACAUUGCCAGGUGGGAACAAACCUCACAGCUACUGCUGCAUCUUAAAGCCCAGGAGCUGCCUGGAGGAUGGAGCCCUUCCCAGCCCCAGAUGGGCAGGUGAAGGAUGACUUUGCCGUUUGCUCCUCAUCUCUGUACAGUCCAGUCAACCUUUGAAAUGUGUUCUCCUGCAAUGUCGACCCAGAUAAAACUCCUUUUCCCUACCGGGCGUGGAGGCCACGCUGGCUGCUGUAGACGCCAUGUUAUCUUCCCCUCUGCUGGUGAUAUUUUACAAUGCAAAUAACUUCUGCCUGCAACCUCCAGUACAAAUGAAAUGCUUAUUGAACUUGGCCAUACCUGGUGUGAGGUCUUGGCCUCUUUUCUUUGGAGAAAAUCUGUUUGUCAGCUCCUCCUCCCCCCCACCCCCGACUUGCCUGGUUAAUCACCUUUUAGCACUUUACCUGCCUAACUCCUGUACAGCGUUGUCCCUUAUGUUUCACAGUGAUAUUAUUGACCCAUCAGCUGUUAGUUUUCAAACGAUGCCUCUCAAGGCGCAUUCUGUACAAAUAUCACUGCAGUAGUGUGAAUGCAGCCGUGCUAGGCUCAGGGACAUCUGAUAGCAUUUCAGUCUCACUUUGCAUUCUCUUUACCAGGGCUGACCAAGGGAGGAAGUAGAGGGGGAUCAGGAUAUCUCUGUGUUUAAACGUUAGUCAGUGUGACCGUUAUAGAAAACGUAUCCAGUGACUAAUGGGAGGCAGUUUGGCCCAGUGGUUAGGGCACUGGGCCAGAUUUCAGCAGACUUUGGUUAUGUUUCCAGCUUUGCCACUGAGCCGCUGAGUGACCUCAAGCAAGUCAUUGCCCCUCCAUGCCUCAGUUUCCCCCUCCCACUCUUGCUCCGUCUCUUCUAUUUACAGUGUAAGCUCUUUGGGGCUGGGAAUGGCUCUUACUGUGCGUUCAUAGGGCAGUCGGCACAGCAAGGGGUUGCUAGGUACUGCCGUAAUACAAGUAAAAUAAGGAGUGAGUUGACCCAGCUUUGUGUUUUGGCUUCCCGUGGCUAGUGCUGGAAAAUAGCAUCUGUGACUAUUUAGUCCUGUUCAAAAGCCAGUUUCAGUUCGACCAC